rnacentral:tRNA from 1 species
GGGCCCGUGGCGUAGUAUGGAAGCGCGCCGGCCUGAGGAGCCGGUGGUCAGGGGUUCAAAUCCCCUCGGGCCCG